GAUGAACGCUAGCGGGAGGCCUAACACAUGCAAGCCGAGCGGUAUUGUUUCUUCGGAAAUGAGAGAGCGGCGUACGGUUGCGUAACACGUGUGCAACCUGCCUUUAUCUGGGGGAUAGCCUUUCGAAAGGAAGAUUAAUACUCCAUAAUAUAUUGAACGGCAUCGUUUAAUAUUGAAAGCUCCGGCGGAUAGAGAUGGGCACGCGCAAGAUUAGCUAGUUGGUGAGGUAACGGCUCACCAAGGCGAUGAUCUUUAGGGGGCCUGAGAGGGUGAUCCCCCACACUGGUACUGAGACACGGACCAGACUCCUACGGGAGGCAGCAGUGAGGAAUAUUGGUCGAUGGGUGCAAGCCUGAACCAGCCAUCCCGUGUGAAGGACGACUGCCCUAUGGGUUGUAAACUUCUUUUGUAUAGGGAUAAACCUACCCUCGAGAGGGUAGCUGAAGGUACUAUACGAAUAAGCACCGGCUAACUCCGUG
rnacentral:rRNA from 1 species